ACGGGUGAGUAAUGUCUGGGAAACUGCCCGAUGGAGGGGGAUAACUACUGGAAACGGUAGCUAAUACCGCAUAACGUCUUCGGACCAAAGUGGGGGACCUUCGGGCCUCACACCAUCGGAUGUGCCCAGAUGGGAUUAGCUAGUAGGUGGGGUAACGGCCCACCUAGGCGACGAUCCCUAGCUGGUCUGAGAGGAUGACCAGCCACACUGGAACUGAGACACGGUCCAGACUCCUACGGGAGGCAGCAGUGGGGAAUAUUGCACAAUGGGCGCAAGCCUGAUGCAGCCAUGCCGCGUGUAUGAAGAAGGCCUUCGGGUUGUAAAGUACUUUCAGUGGGGAGGAAGGCGAUGGAGUUAAUAGCUUCGUCGAUUGACGUUACCCGCAGAAGAAGCACCGGCUAACUCCGUGCCAGCAGCCGCGGUAAUACGGAGGGUGCAAGCGUUAAUCGGAAUUACUGGGCGUAAAGCGCACGCAGGCGGUCUGUCAAGUCGGAUGUGAAAUCCCCGGGCUCAACCUGGGAACUGCAUUCGAAACUGGCAGGCUAGAGUCUUGUAGAGGGGGGUAGAAUUCCAGGUGUAGC
rnacentral:rRNA from 1 species